rnacentral:rRNA from 1 species
GAUGAACGCUGGCGGCGUGCCUAAUACAUGCAAGUCGAGCGAACGGACGAGAAGCUUGCUUUUCUGAUGUUAGCGGCGGACGGGUGAGUAACACGUGGAUAACCUACCUAUAAGACUGGGAUAACUUCGGGAAACCGGAGCUAAUACCGGAUAAUAUUUUGAACCGCAUGGUUCAAAAGUGAAAGACGGUCUUGCUGUCACUUAUAGAUGGAUCCGCGCUGCAUUAGCUAGUUGUAAGGUAACGGCUUACCAAGGCAACGAUGCAUAGCCGACCUGAGAGGGUGAUCGGCCACACUGGAACUGAGACACGGUCCAGACUCCUACGGGAGGCAGCAGUAGGGAAUCUUCCGCAAUGGGCGAAAGCCUGACGGAGCAACGCCGCGUGAGUGAUGAAGGUCUUCGGAUCGUAAAACUCUGUUAUUAGGGAAGAACAUAUGUGUAAGUAACUGUGCACAUCUUGACGGUACCUAAUCAGAAAGCCACGGCUAACUACGUG